rnacentral:lncRNA from 1 species
AAAAAAAAAAGGAAUCUGAGCCCAAAUGAGAAAGGGUUACAAAGAAUGAAGCCAAGCUGUUACUAUCUAAUACCAAAAACAGAAUUGCACUACAAUACAUUGCUGGAUGAAUGAUGAAUCAAAUUACAAACAAAUAAACUAUGUUCUGAAUAAGGAAAAAUGGCAUCCUCCAUUUUAACACAGUGCUGAAUGAUGUACAAUAAUAACUUGCCAGUACCAAGAUGACUUUCAACCAAUCCCAGA